rnacentral:rRNA from 1 species
UGGGGAAUAUUGCACAAUGGGGGAAACCCUGAUGCAGCGACGCCGCGUGAGGGAAGACGGUUUUCGGAUUGUAAACCUCUGUCUCUGGUGAAGAUAAUGACGGUAACCAGAGAGGAAGCCACGGCUAACUACGUGCCAGCAGCCGCGGUAAUACGUAGGGAGCAAGCGUUGUCCGGAAUUACUGGGUGUAAAGGGUGCGUAGGCGGAAGAUCAAGUUCAAGGUGAAAGCGUGGGGCUCAACCCCAUACAGCCUUGGAAACUGGUCAUCUAGAGUGCAGAAGAGGGUAGUGGAAUUCCAUGUGUAGCGGUAAAAUGCGUAGAUAUAUGGAGGAACACCAGUGGCGAAGGCGGCUACCUGGUCUGUAACUGACGCUGAAGCACGAAAGCGUGGGGAGCAAAUA